rnacentral:rRNA from 1 species
GACGAACGCUGGCGGCGUGCUUAACACAUGCAAGUCGAACGGAAAGGCCCCUUUGGGGGUACUCGAGUGGCGAACGGGUGCGUAACACGUGCGUAACCUGCCCUUGACUUCGGGAUAACUUCAGGAAACUGGGGCUAAUACCGGAUAGGAAUCCUUGCUGCAUGGUGGGGGUUGGAAAGCUUCGGCGGUUUUGGCUGGACUCGCGGCUUAUCCGCUUGUUGGUGGGGUAGUGGCUUACCAAGGCUUUGACGUGUAGCCGGCCUGAGAGGGCGACCGGCCACAUUGGGACUGAGAUACGGCCCAGACUCCUACGGGAGGCAGCAGUGGGGAAUAUUGCACAAUGGGCGGAAGCCUGAUGCAGCAACGCCGCGUGCGGGAUGACGGCCUUCGGGUUGUAAACCGCUUUCAGCAGGGGCGAAGCUUGUGGUGACGGUACCUGCAGAAGAAGCACCGGCUAACUACGUG